rnacentral:rRNA from 1 species
CUUGGUGGCAUUUCCAGCGGGGACACACCCGUUCCCUUCCCGAACACGGAAGUUAAGCCCGUUUGGGCCGAUGGUAGCCAAGUGUGGCGAGAGUAGGUGGCCGCCAGGA